AUGACUGAAAGCUUUUGCAGAUGGCAAGUCAUCGUUUGAAAGUUUCAGCUGAGUUAAGAAAGCUAAGGUCAUAAGGCAAAUCACAGUGAAGAGUUUGCAAUUAGAACCACUCUGUAAUCAGCUCAUUGCAUAUUUUGCAGAGCGAAUGAUAUCUGUCUGCACAAGAGAAAUGGCAUAAUGCAAAAAAAGAGUGGUGAUGAG